CCUACGGGAUGCAGCAGUGGGGAAUAUUGCGCAAUGGGCGCAAGCCUGACCCAGCAACGCCGCGUGAAGGAAGAAGGCCCUCGGGUUGUAAACUUCUGUUGUCAGGGAAGAAACAAAUGACGGUACAUGACGCAUAAGCCACGGCUAACUACGUGACAGCAGCCGCGGUAAUACGUAGGUGGCAAGCGUUCUCCGGAUGUACUGGGUGUAAAGGGCGUGUAGGCGGGAGAGCAAGUCAGAUGUGAAAUUCCAGGGCUCAACCCUUGAACUGCAUUUGAAACUGUUUUUCUUGAGUGAUGGAGAGGCUGGCGGAAUUCCGGGUGUAGCUGUGAAAUGCGUAGAUAUACGGAGGAACACCAGUGGCGAAGGCGGCCUGCUGGACAUUAACUGACGCUGAGGCGCGAAAGCGUGGGGAGCAAACAGGAUUAGAUACCCCUGUAGUC
rnacentral:rRNA from 1 species